rnacentral:SRP_RNA from 1 species
GGCCAGGCUCCGUGCAGUGGGAGCCUUGCGAACCGCGUCAGGUCCGGGAGGAAGCAGCGCUAAGCAUCGUCUCCCAGGUGCGCGGGCGGCCUGGCCCUC